rnacentral:tRNA from 1 species
AGGUCCCAUAGCUCAGUUGGUUAGAGCACAGGACUCAUAAGCCUGGGGUCGGCGGUUCGAAUCCGCCUGAUCCUACCA